GACGAACGCUGGCGGCGUGCUUAACACAUGCAAGUCGAACGAACAGACCCGGCGCUUGUUCCGUUGUCGAUAGCGGAGCACGGGAGUGACACGUGUGGAUAAUGUCCUUAACAUUCUGGGAUCUCUAGGGGAAUCGGGCUCAUACACGAGAGGAUCUACUGCUGCGCGUUGUUGAAUGGUAAGAUACGGCUUUUGUGGAUGUACUCGCGGCUUAUCGGCUAGUUGGUAAGGUAACGGCUUACCAAGGCUAUGAUGCGUAGCCGACCUGAGAGAGUGAUCGGCCACACUGGAACUGAGACACGGUCCAGACUCCUACGGGAGGCAGCAGUAGGGAAUCUUCCGCAAUGGGCGAAAGCCUGACGGAGCAACGCCGCGUGAGUGAUGAAGGUCUUCGGAUCGUAAAACUCUGUUAUUAGGGAAGAACAAAUGUGUAAGUAACUAUGCACGUCUUGACGGUACCUAAUCAGAAAGCCACGGCUAACUACGUG
rnacentral:rRNA from 1 species